UGGGGAAUUUUGCGCAAUGGGGGAAACCCUGACGCAGCAACGCCGCGUGGAGGAUGAAGUCCUUCGGGACGUAAACUCCUUUCGAUCGGGACGAUUAUGACGGUACCGGAAGAAGAAGCCCCGGCUAACUUCGUGCCAGCAGCCGCGGUAAUACGAGGGGGGCGAGCGUUGUUCGGAAUUAUUGGGCGUAAAGGGUGCGUAGGCGGUUUGGUAAGUCUUGUGUGAAAUCUACAGGCUCAACUUGUAGUCUGCACGAGAAACUGCCGGGCUUGAGUGUGGGAGAGGUGAGUGGAAUUCCUGGUGUAGCGGUGAAAUGCGUAGAUAUCAGGAGGAACACCUGUGGCGAAAGCGGCUCACUGGACCACAACUGACGCUGAUGCACGAAAGCCAGGGGAGCAAACAGGAUUAGAUACCCUGGUAGUCCUAGCCCUAAACGAUGACUGCUUGGUGUGACGGGUACCCAAUCCCGCCGUGCCGUAGCUAACGCGUUAAGCAGUCCGCCUGGGGAGUACGGUCGCAAGGCUG
rnacentral:rRNA from 1 species